UACGGGGGGGGCAAGCGUUGUUCGGAAUUACUGGGCGUAAAGGGCUCGUAGGCGGCCAACUAAGUCAGACGUGAAAUCCCUCGGCUUAACCGGGGAACUGCGUCUGAUACUGGAUGGCUUGAAUCCGGGAGAGGGAUGCGGAAUUCCAGGUGUAGCGGUGAAAUGCGUAGAUAUCGGGAGGAACACCUGUGGCGAAGGCGGCCAUCUGGACGGUGACUGACGCUGAGACGCGAAAGCGUGGGUAGCAAACAGG
rnacentral:rRNA from 1 species